CCGAGGUGUGCUGGUGGUCAUCUUGUGCCAACGCUGCUCAGGACAGAAAGGACACAGGAACAAUGGCAUGCUUUCAAGUACAGUGUGUACACCAUGGGGAACUCAUCCAUCAGAGCUGUGAUGAAGCCCUCUACUGUACAGAACUACAAACACAGAACGGGUGUCAAGUGAGUCCUUACCUGACUGUCCAGGCCCAGCAUCAACAGCAUGGAGAAGAAGAGGAUGGCCCAGAGGGACGACAUGGGCAGCUGGGUGACUGCCUGCGGGUAGGCCAGGAACGCCAAGCCUGGGCCUAGAGAUACAUAAACAAUGGAGAAGUAGACGAGGACCCAGGCCAGGGCCAGAGUUCCAGCCAGGGGCCAACGCACCUCACCUGGCUCCUCAAGACCACCGGAC